GGGGAGGCAACCUCAGAGGGUAUAAGACUGGAGCCCCCAUCCCAUGCUUAGUCACCUGUGUUGGAAAGUGACAUAGUCAGCCAUAGAAGAUACAUAGGUGCUACAUAGGCAGACAUGGGUAGUGUCAGCAUGUUGGUGGUGUGUGUUGCUGUGAUCUUCAGUCUGGUCUCAGUGAGUCAGACGGCGCCUUCUUCUCAAACCUGUGAGAAGCUCCUGAAACCCCUUGAGAUGAAGACCACUGAUCUGGUUAGCAUUCGUCUAUACUACCUAGUUCAUUAUAUCUACACAUGUUUCUGUGUGUGUGUGUGUGUGUGUGUAUAUAUGUUUCUGUUUGUACAUACAUGAGUACAUGUGUGCUAAUUUCAAGUCUACCGGUCUGAUCUGAUCUCCAUUCAGCUCUUAGGGAAGUGGUCCUUGUUAGCCGCGAGUAACAACCGACCCGGUCUGAGGACUGUAAAUGAGCUUUUCACAGAAAACGUCUGGUGGGAAUUCUUGCCGGGAAAACGCAGCAACAUGGUCACUGCCAACGGUUACGCAAAAAUGGUAGAAUGUGGUCGUUACAGCGCCAGUUUAACUCUGGAAAACAACCAGCUGAGCUGGACGUACAUUCCAUCACUGUCUUCCACUGCUGUGUUGCUGCCUACCUGUCCGGACUGUCUGGUGACCCUGAUAACCAGCACCAUCAAUGGAAACGUCUACACUGCUCUGAGAAUCUUCAGUAAGAGAAGAGUGCUCACUGAUGCCGAAAUGCUGGAGUUUGAUACGCAGGUUGAAUGUCUCAACUUACCAGCUAGAUACACCUUCAGCACUGAAGAAGAUCUCUGUCCAGCCACCUCUAAACAAUAUCCUGACGUGACCGAUUUUAAGAAGAGUCUAGUGGACUUCAUGGAGAUAUAUCCAGUGAAAAAGCUGUUGAGAACAACUGAUAAUUUCUUCGAAAAGAGAUACAGUGCAGUUGUAUUGAACUGUUUUCAACGUGUUGGUCAGACAUUUGGUAAACUGAAGGACUGGUUUUUCAGCUUCCUGUAGGUUUUCAGUCCAACCCUAACCUCACAUAGCUGAUUCACCUGAUUAAUGUCUUUGCGUCAAACAUGCAGAAUCAGAUGUGCUUGGUUGCCUGUCAUCUUCAAGAACAGUUGAAUGUUCUGAAGGUGUUCCAAGAACCCCUUAUUAUGUGAGGAGCUCUAGAACCCUUUGAUCUUUGAAUGGUUGCUCCAGAAACCCACCAUGAAUGAUUCCAUCAACAUUUACAAUUAAAUUGAUUGUGACAACCCAAUCUGCUGUUUGUUAACCGUUUUUAACAUAGAAUAACUGAUUGCAUAAGUAUUCAACCGUUAGGGUUGACUGAAUAGAGAUAUUGUUACUGGUGUGAUUUAUGUAAUGGAACCAUCUAGAAAUAAAUUGUGCCUCAA
rnacentral:lncRNA from 1 species